rfam:Oryza barthii chromosome 1, whole genome shotgun sequence.
CCUCCGCCGCCCCAUUUCCAUUUUAAGUGUGACUAUGAUUUUUCGUCUUAUUUGAUAAAAAAAAACUAAAAUAUAAGUCACGCAUAAAUUAUUAUUCAUAUUUUAUCAUCUCAUAACUAUAAAAAUACUAAUUAUAAAAAAUUUUCAAAUAAAACGGAAAAUCAAAGUUGGAUACAGAAACUCAUAGUUACACUUAAA